rnacentral:rRNA from 1 species
GUGGGGAAUAUUGCACAAUGGGGGAAACCCUGAUGCAGCCAUGCCGCGUGUGUGAAGAAGGCCUUCGGGUUGUAAAGCACUUUCAGUAGGGAGGAAAGGUGAUGUGUUAAUAGCACAUUGCUGUGACGUUACCUACAGAAGAAGGACCGGCUAACUCCGUGCCAGCAGCCGCGGUAAUACGGAGGGUCCGAGCGUUAAUCGGAAUUACUGGGCGUAAAGCGUGCGCAGGCGGUUUGUUAAGCCAGAUGUGAAAUCCCCGGGCUCAACCUGGGAAUUGCAUUUGGAACUGGCGAACUAGAGUCUUGUAGAGGGGGGUAGAAUUCCAGGUGUAGCGGUGAAAUGCGUAGAUAUCUGGAGGAAUACCGGUGGCGAAGGCGGCCCCCUGGACAAAGACUGACGCUCAUGCACGAAAGCGUGGGGAGCAAACAGGAUUAGAAACCCUAGUAGUCC